AAUAUAUUUGCUGUCAAAAUAUAUUUAGUAUGCUUGCUCUUAUACUUGGAGGUUUAAAACUUUAGCAAAUCCAUUAAUCGUCUUUUCUUCAACAGAAAGACAAUAAUCUGGAAUUUAAAUGGUUUAACGAGGAAAAGAAGCUGCAGGGAUCAGGAGAGACACUUACAAGGAAAACCGACGAUGUGGUAAACACUCGCUUCUUUUGCAAUGUUUCAAACUCCAUCAGCUCUGAGAUCAGUGACCCUGCUGCACAAAAGUGCUCAAAACCCUCUUUUCCUAAUGAAUUAUUUGGAAUUAGCAUCUGGGUUUUCAUAGGAGGCGGAGCAGGUCUUCUUAUUUUGGUGAUCGUCACUGCCACAGUUUGUUGUGUCCGGGCCAGACGAAAGAGACGCAUAUGAUAAACGAUGGCAGGUCAGAGACCUUUGUUUGCAGUGGACGAAUCAAGAACAGCAACAGCAUCACCUUCAGCAGAACCACUUAACAAAACCACUA